ensembl:lncRNA
UGAUGAACAUACUAAAGAGUAUUGAAGCCAGCACCCCAGGAGGAUACCUCUCAUCGCUGACCUCCAUCCAGACACGGAGCCAUUGACCACCACUCUCUGGAUUAGAUCCUGCAGCCAGGUCAUUGUCCAUCAAACAGUCUACCCUUCAAAUCGAUCUCUUUCCAAUUUGGAGGGAAGGAUGUUGUGGGCUGCUGUGUCAAAGGCCUUACUGAAGUCCAGACAGAUGACAUCAGUGGCUCUUCCCUUGUCCAUUGCUGCAGUGAUGCCAUUGUGGAAGGCUGCUAGGUAGGUCAAACAGGAUUUGCCCCUGGUGAAGCCAUGCUGGUUCUCCCAUAUCACCUCCCUGUCUUCUGUGUGCCUUAGCAUCACUUCCAGGAGGAUCUGCUCCACAAUCUUUCCCAGUACAGAGGUGAAACUGACAGGUUGGUAAUUUCCAGGGUUAUCCUUUUUACCCUUCUUAAAAAUGGAUGUGAUGUUGCCUUAUUUCUAGUUACCAAGGAUGAUCCCUUUUUGAAAAUCCCGAUGAUCCCUUGUUUUUUUUUUUUUUUUUUUUUUUUGUGUGGCCAUCCUCUGUAUGUGCUCCAACAGGUCCAUGUCUCUUCUGCACUGAGGACUCUACAUCUGGAUGCAGUACUCCAGGUGAGGCCUCUUCAGUACAGAGCAGAGGGGCAGGAUCACUUCCCUUCACUGCUGACCACUCUUCUUUUGAUGCGUCCCAGGAUAUGGUUGGUUUUCUGGGCUGGGAGGGCACACUGCUGGCUCAUGUCCAGCUUGCCAUCUACCAGUACCUCCAGGUCUUUUGGGACAUGCUUAUGCUCAGUCCUUUCAUCCCCCAGCAUGUAUUGGUAGUGGGGGGUCCUCUUGUCCCAUGUGCAAGACCCUGCACCUGGAUUUGUUGAACCUGAUGAGGUUUCAAAUCCGUUCACCUGUGCCUGCUGCUCGAGCCUGUUCAGGUCCCUCUGGUUGGUGUCCUGUCCCUUUGGUGUGUCACUGCACCCCACAGCUUGGUGUCGUCAGCAAAUUUUCUGAGGGCGCACUCGACCCCGCUGAUGAUGUCGCUGAUGAAGAUAUUGAAGAGUGUCAGCCUCAGCAUAGACCCCUGUGGGACAACACUCAUCACCAAUCGCCAUCUAGACAUGGAGCCAUUGAUCGCUGCUCUCUGGACUCAGUCCUGCAGCCGAUCUUUGUCCAUUCAACAGUCCACCCACCGAAUCCGUAUCUUUCCCAGCUUCCCAAAACAGCUUCCUAAAACUCAAUCCAAUCAAAAUUCUGUGCUGUCUAGUAACAAGGACUUCCAUCAGACUGAGAGCUCAGGCUUUACAGGCCAGUGGUGGAGCCAAGAGGGAGGCCUCUGGAUUUUCAGAAAGGACCGAGAAGGCUGAGAAUCAGUUUUGAGUUGUGCUGUGGAACAGAAUGUACAGCUGGAUCUAGAACAGUUGCCAAAGAGGUGUCCAUGGGCAAACGGUGCUGGAUUUCCCAGGUGGAGAUCAUGAAGUUCCUUGCCUCCUUGCAAAGUGUUCUCAUAUUAUUCUUAUAUAGCGUUGUAUGUUACUGCUGUACUAAGAUCUUUACUACAAAUCCAUUAUCUGUUUCCCAAAGGUAAUGGUGAUGCUGAGAAGCAUGCCUCAUGAUGACUUACACAUCCCUCAUGCUUCAUAUUAAUUCUUCCUUUGGGUCAAAAGUAGACUGAAAUUCUUGAAACCUUGCCUGGGAAUCCUGCUGUUGCUAAAAUGGUUCAGCCGUGGUGCCUGUGGUCAGAAUACCUUGUGGCAGACCCUGGCACUGGCUGUGAAUGAAAGAACUGAUGACAAAUUGCUCAAUAUCGAAAGCGAGCCAGUGCAUAUUUACAAGCCUUGGGUGAGCCAGAUGGAAUCUAAGAGGGGGAGGCCAGGUAGGGAAGCUGUUACUAUGAUGUUUCUUAGAAGACUUGCAAGGCUGUUUUGCAUUGCUCUGUUAAUUGUUCCAAGGCACCCUUGGCUUCACUGUGUGCAAUUCAUACCAUGUUUUUUCAUCACCUCAGAUGCUGGCUGAAAUAUGUAUAUACAUGUGUAUAUAUAAAUGUAUACACAUACACAUAUUUAAAAAAAAAAA